rnacentral:rRNA from 1 species
AUAACACGUGAGUAAUCUGCCCUUCACUUCGGGAUAAGCUUCUUGACCCGGGGUCUAAUACCGGAUACGACACUUUCAGGCAUCUGAUGAGUGUGGAAAGUUUUUCGGUGGGGGAUGUGCUCGCGGCCUAUCAGCUUGUUGGUGGGGUAAUGGCCUACCAAGGCUUCGACGGGUAGCCGGCCUGAGAGGGUGACCGGCCACACUGGGACUGAGACACGGCCCAGACUCCUACGGGAGGCAGCAGUGGGGAAUAUUGGACAAUGGGCGGAAGCCUGAUCCAUCAACGCCGCGUGAGGGAUGACGGCCUUCGGGUUGUAAACCUCUUUCAAUACCGACGAAGCGAGAGUGACGGGUAGGUACAGAAGAAGCACCGGCCAACUACGUGCCAGCAGCCGCGGUAAUACGUAAGGUGCGAGCGUUGUCCGGAAUUAUUGGGCGUAAAGGGCUCGUAAGCGGUUUGUCGCGUCCGGGAGUGAAAACACCGGGCUUAACUCGGUGCUUGCUUUCGAUACGGGGCAGACUAGAGGUAUGCAAGGGAGAACGG